AUUGAACGCUGGCGGCAGGCCUAACACAUGCAAGUCGAACGAGUGGCGGACGGGUGAGUAAUGUCUGGGAAACUGCCUGAUGGAGGGGGAUAACUACUGGAAACGGUAGCUAAUACCGCAUCCCAUCGGAUGUGCCCAGAUGGGAUUAGCUAGUAGGUGGGGUAAAGUCUCACCUAGGCGACGAUCCCUAGCUGGUCUGAGAGGAUGACCAGACACACUGGAACUGAGACACGUUCCAUACUCCUACGGGAGGCAGCAGUGGGGAGUAUUGCACAAUGGGCGCAAGCCUGAUGCAGCCAUGCCGCGUGUAUGAAGAAGGCCUUCGGGUUGUAAAGUACUUGCAGCGGUGAGGCGUUACCCGCAGAAGAAGCACCGGCUAACUCCGUGCCAGCAGCCGCGGUAAUUC
rnacentral:rRNA from 1 species